AGAGUUAAUAGCAAAAUGUCCGGACGCGGCAAAGGCGGGAAGGGUUUGGGGAAAGGAGGCGCCAAGCGGCACAGGAAGGUGCUGCGGGAUAACAUCCAGGGCAUCACCAAGCCCGCCAUCCGC